rnacentral:rRNA from 1 species
UAGGGAAUCUUCGGCAAUGGGGGCAACCCUGACCGAGCAACGCCGCGUGAGUGAAGAAGGUUUUCGGAUCGUAAAGCUCUGUUGUAAGAGAAGAACGAGUGUGAGAGUGGAAAGUUCACACUGUGACGGUAUCUUACCAGAAAGGGACGGCUAACUACGUGCCAGCAGCCGCGGUAAUACGUAGGUCCCGAGCGUUAUCCGGAUUUAUUGGGCGUAAAGCGAGCGCAGGCAGUUAGAUAAGUCUGAAGUUAAAGGCUGUGGCUUAACCAUAGUACGCUUUGGAAACUGUUUAACUUGAGUGCAGAAGGGGAGAGUGGAAUUCCAUGUGUAGCGGUGAAAUGCGUAGAUAUAUGGAGGAACACCGGUGGCGAAAGCGGCUCUCUGGUCUGUAACUGACGCUGAGGCUCGAAAGCGUGGGGAGCAAACAGGAUUAGAUACCCUGGUAGUCCACGCCGUAAACGAUGAGUGCUAGGUGUUGGGUCCUUUCCGGGACUCAGUGCCGCAGCUAACGCAUUAAGCACUCCGCCUGGGGAGUACGACCGCAAGGUUG